rnacentral:rRNA from 1 species
AUUUAAAGUGAAACCGCAAAAGGCUCAGUAAACCGGUCAUAGUUUACAGGUUAAAUGCCACUUUACGUGGAUAACUGUGGUAAUUCUAGAGCUAAUACAUGCAAACCAAGUCCCGACCAGAGAUGGAGAGGACGCUUUUAUUGGAUCAAAACCAUUCGCCCGGCUCGCCCGGGCGUCUGCUUGAUGACUCUAGAUAACAUCACAGAUCGUACGGUCCUGGUACCGGCGACAUAUCCUUCAAAUGUCUGACUUAUCAGCUGUCGAUGGUAGAUUCUGUGUCUACCAUGGCUCUCACGGGUGACGGGGAAUCAGGGUUCGAUUCCGGAGAGGGAGCCUGAGAAACGGCUACCACAUCCAAGGAAGGCAGCAGGCACGCAAAUUACCCACUCCCGGCACGGGGAGGUAGUGACAAAAAAUAACGAUACGGGACUCAUCCGAGGCCCCGUAAUCGGAAUGAGAACAUCCUAAAUCCUUUAACGAGGAUCUAUUGGAGGGCAAGUCUGGUGCCAGCAGCCGCGGUAAUUCCAGCUCCAAUAGCGUAUAUUAAAGUUGUUGCGGUUAAAAAGCUCGUAGUUGGUUCUGCGUGCCACGCUGUCGGUUCACCGCCUGUCGGUGCAACUGGCAUGCCGUGGCAUGUCCUGUCGGUGGCGUACAGGCUUCGCGGCGCUCCCUGCAUGAUACGUUGUGUAGGUCGUCGAGUUGUUCUCGUACGCCGGCUCAAUCCUGCCGCGGUGCUCUUUACCGAGUGUCGAGGUAGGCCGGCACAUUUUACUUUGAACAAAUUAGAGUGCUUAAAGCAGGCUCUUAAAUCAGCCUGAAUAGUGGUGCAUGGAAUAAUGGAACAGGACCUUGGUUCUAUUUUGUUGGUUUUAGGAAUCCAAGGUAAUGAUCAAUAAGGACAGGCGGGGGCAUUCGUAUUGCGACGUUAGAGGUGAAAUUCUUGGAUCGUCGCAAGACGCACUAGAGCGAA